rnacentral:rRNA from 1 species
CUACGGGCGGCUGCAGUGGGGAAUAUUGGACAAUGGGGGAAACCCUGAUCCAGCAAUGCCGCGUGUGUGAAGAAGGCCUGCGGGUUGUAAAGCACUUUCGGUUGGGAGGACUGCUUCUAGCACUAAUAUUGUUGGAAGUUGACGUUACCUUCAGAAGAAGCACCGGCUAACUCCGUGCCAGCAGGCCGCGGUAAUACGGAGGGUGCAAGCGUUAAUCGGAAUUACUGGGCGUAAAGCGCGCGUAGGCGGCUAGAUCAGUCGGGUGUGAAAGCCCCGGGCUUAACCUGGGAACUGCAUCCGAUACUGUCUAGCUUGAGUACAGGAGAGGAGAGUGGAAUUCCACAUGCAGCGGUGAAAUGCGUAGAUAUGUGGGGGAACACCAAUGGCGAAGGCAGCUCUCUGGCCUGAUACUGACGCUGAGGUGCGAAAGCGUGGGGAUCAAACAGGAUUAGAUACCCUUGUAGUC